CAACUGCCAAAGUGAUUUCAAAGGGAAUUUCAAAUUUAAAGGGCAUCUAGCCGAACGAGCAUGUUUUUAGUUCUGCUACUUUGGUCUUAAAUUUGAAAUUCAUUCACUUUUGUGAAAAACCAUGUUAAUAUUUUAGUAACAGUAAAAUGGUCUGCUAUACAAAAAAAGUGAUUUUAUAUUGUCCAAUUAACCCCUUCUAGGUACUUACUAGGUGCGUCCGACUAGGUACAAUUUAUUGAUAACAAUCCAGGUAGCUAUACAGUCUGACUGGCAUCCCACAGAUGUCCCAGAGCUUAAAAAAUUCUGGGCUCUUACAAUGCUCAUGGGGAUUAUAAAGAAGCCAUCGAUUCGCUCAUACUGGAGCACCAACCCAAUAAUGUCUAGUCCAGUAUUCUCCCAAACUAUGCCUAGAGCCAGAUCCGAGUUACUGCUGAGAUUUUUUUCAUUUCAGUGACAAUACCCUCUGUCACCCUAGAGAUCACCCCCGUUCGCGGUAUUCCUACUUACUUACCCAAUCACCGGCAGGGGUGUCCCUCUCCGUCUUGGGGACAGCCCAGACAGUCUCCUCUCGGCAAAUUAUGACCCCAUGGGCAGUCCCCCUGCUGGUGGAAAAGUAAAAUAAAA